rnacentral:rRNA from 1 species
CCUACGGGUGGCAGCAGUGAGGAAUAUUGGUCAAUGGGCGCAAGCCUGAACCAGCCAAGUCGCGUGAAGGAUGACUGCCCUACGGUUUGUAAACUUCUUUUAUAAAGGAAUAAAGUGAUGCACGUGUGCCUUUUUGUAUGUACCUUAUGAAUAAGUAUCGGCUAACUCCGUGCCAGCAGCCGCGGUAAUACGGAGGAUCCUAGCUUUAUCCGGAUUUAUUGGGGUGAAAGGGUGCGUAGAUGGGUUGUUAAGUCGGUGGUGAAAGUUUGGGGCUCAACCGUAAAAUUGCAAUUGAUACUGGCAGUCUAGAGUGCAGUUGAGGUAGGCGGAAUUCGUGGUGUAGCGGUGAAAUGCGGAGAUAUCACGAAGAACUCCGAUUGCGAAGGCAGCUUACUAAGCUGUAACUGACAUUGAGGCUCGAAAGCGUGGGGAUCAAACAGGAUUAGAUACCCUUGUAGUC